CCUGCUCCCGCUCUUCCCCCCUGGCACGCGAGGGCGUCGGGCUGCUCUGCAUUACCCACUCCUGCCACCAUCAUUGCACACACCUGCCUUCCCUCGUCACGCGCAUCAGCAAUUUAUUGGACUCACCUGGACUCAAUCACCUGUUUAUUAACUCCCUUAUAUUUGUCAAUUCCCCGGCUCUGUUCCCCCCUGCUGCAUUAAUUGACCGAAGUCUGUGUAUUACCCGGUUCUGACACUGUUCUUGUCUUGUUUUCGUGUCUGUUACAAUUAAAUGUUGACUCCCGUACCUGCUUCUCUUCUCCAGCAUCGGUCCUUACAGAAACAUACGGUUGACACCGGCAAUACUAGUAACGUUACUAGUAGUAAUGGAGAACAUCUUUCGGCAGGCUAGGGUGCGCGCAGGAGGCCUAUGGACAAGUUGACUAGCAGCAAGCUAACUCAAGCAACAGCCAAGUGGAUAGCUACAGCUUGGAGGCCUGUCUGCAUUUUGGAGGACGAAGGCUUGAGGGAUAUCAUUCGGAUAGCAUCGAAUUACUCAAAGUAUGAGUUAUGUUCACGUGUCACAGUCGUUACAAGAAUACACGAGCUGUAUGAAAGUGAGAAGGCUACGAAAGCGGAGGAAUUGAAACAUACAACUGGCUGUUGCUCUCACCAGAGACCACUGGACUUAGGCCUGAGGCUCUUGGACAGACUGAGGACACCCUGGCUUGACACCUGGAUGUGCCUGGCCCAAUCCUGGCCCCGCUCUACCUACUUCCUGACUGUUGCUGCCCCCACUGUUUCUUUCUCCCCCUCAAGUCACUGACUCCCCACACACCCAGAAAUUUAGAUUCUAUUACUUACCAUGACGUCUUUGUGAAAAGCCAUCUGUCGAUAGGGUCUUGAAGUGUUAGAACUUCCUCUAUAGUCAUUAUGGAUAUUGUCUGAGCUUGCUGGACAUUAAUAUUGGUAUUGCUUUUCCUUAUUGAAAUUGUGAAUAAAGGAAGACUGCUUUCAUUUUCACUUCAGGCACAAUGAAUACAUUGUUGGAUUGAAUGUAUGCAUUUAUACGGUCUGUAUCUCUGUACUACAGCAGUUCAAAUAAGGAUUUGUGCAAACUGGAAUUGUCUUCUUUCCCCAAUGAUUUCAUAAGGCUGAGGAAUUGUCAGUUAUCCCAUACUAAGGCUAGAUGAGGCUGAAUGACCACUAAUUCAUCUAAUUGGUACAUGACUGUUCAGUCUGAAUAUUCCAUCAAAAGGUGCAUUUUUGGGGGGCUAAAUUUAGGUUUUACUAAACCUUCAAAAGGGACACACAUACACAAUGAAGUUGAUCAAAUAAAGUAAUUGUCAGGAAAGGUAAUUUAUUACAUCAAGUAUAGUCACAGCCUCUCCCCUUCAUUUGCUUAACUGUGGGAAUGGGAUGGAGAAAUUGUUUACAAAAGGCAGGGUGGAUCCAAAGCUGUGUAGAUGGGUUACCUGAUAACAUCACAAAAACAAUACACACACUUCAAUGGGGCAGAAGUCUGUGAGUUGUGAUUCUGCAUGGCCAUAUAGCUACCAACAAUGGCAAUCCUAAGUGACUUGUUUCAGGUUGUUUCUUCUCGUUCUUGAUACCAUGUCUUGUUUUGAGGUGUUUUGACUGAUUUCAUGUCAAUGCUAAUAUGGCAGAAAUUCUCUAGCUAGCUAACCAACAACUGUAACGAUGUAUUUGAGAGACAAGUGCUC
rnacentral:lncRNA from 1 species